rnacentral:rRNA from 1 species
UACGUAGGGUGCAAGCGUUGUCCGGAAUUAUUGGGCGUAAAGAGCUCGUAGGCGGUCUGUUGCGUCGGCUGUGAAAACCCGGGGCUCAACUCCGGGCCUGCAGCCGAUACGGGCAGACUAGAGUUCGGCAGGGGAGACUGGAAUUCCUGGUGUAGCGGUGAAAUGCGCAGAUAUCAGGAGGAACACCGGUGGCGAAGGCGGGUCUCUGGGCCGAUACUGACGCUGAGGAGCGAAAGCCAGGGGAGCGAACGGG